AUGAGUGUUGGCGUUAAGCUGGAAGGCGAUUGUGUGAUGUGUGCUGGUGGAUACCAGCUCAUUGCCUUGUUUGCCAAGGGAGGACAGGCUUUUUUCCCUUUUGGCUGCUUAGAAAAUAGUACUGACCUUCAGAGACUUUAGCUUAGUACAUUGGCGCCUUCCAGGAAGUUCUUCGUUGGGGGCAACUGGACUAUGAAUGGAAGAAAGAAGUGUUUGGGAGAACUCAUCUGCACCCUGAACGCAGCCAACAUGUCGGCAGACACUGAGGUGGUUUGUGCACUGCCAACCGCUUACAUCAACUUUGCCUGGCAGAAGCUGGACCCCAAAAUUGUUGUGGCUGCACAGAACUGCUAUAUAGUGACCAACCGGGCCUUCACUGGGGAAAUCAGCCCUGGCUUGAUCAAAGACUUAGGAGCCACCUAGGUCGUGCUGGGGCACUCAGAAAGAAGACACGUCUUUGGUGAAUCAAAGGAGUUGAUUGGGCAGAAAGUGAGCCAUGCCAUAGCAGAGGGACUCGGAGUGAUCUCCUGCAUCGGGGAGAAGCUAGACGAAAGGGAAGCUGGCUUCACUGAGAAGGUUGUUUUUGACCAAACCAAGGUCAUCGCAGAUAAUUGUGAAGGACUGGAGCAAGGUGGUCCUGGCCUGUGAACCUGUAUGGGCCAUUGGGACUGGCAAGACUGCAACCCCUCAGGAAGUCAAUGAGAAGCUCUGGGGAUGGCUGAAAUCCAAUGUCUCUGAUGGGGUGGCUCAGAGCACCCUGAUCAUUUAUGAAGGUUCUGUGACUGGAGCAACCUGCAAAGACCUGGCAAGCCAGCCUGACGUGGAUGGCUUCCUUGAGGUUGGUGAAUUUGUGGACAUCCUCAAUGCCAAACAAUGAGCACUGCCCAUCCUUCUACCUGCCUGCAUAGUGUGGGCUAGGUUGCCCAGAAGUUUAAUAACCGCUCCCACCGGUCACAUGCUUCCAAUGACAUCGUCUGCCCCAUCUUGUGGCCUAAUCCACACUGUACUCUCCUGAGCCAUUCACACCUCCCCAUAAUGGUUGGGACCAGGCCAAUCCCUUUACCACUUACAGUGGGUAGAAUCAAGUAUGUCACCAAGGUGGCUUCCUGAGGAGGGGAAGGAGUAGAACUGAUUGUCCCUUUGGGCCCUAACAAGUGAAAUCGCUUUCCAUUGGUUUGGGAUGGAAACUCAAGGUUGGAGCAUAGGCUUCGUUUCACUUUGGCUUGUCACUCAGGUAGCCUUGGCUCUAGCUUCACUCCCAAGUCCUACUGGAUGUCUGAUGCAGAAAUUCAGAGCCUUCCGGGUUCUGAAUUUCAGUAUACAUGAAGGCUGAGAUCCUCUGACUCUAAGAGGCCUGGGAUACUCCCCUCCCCCACAGUGCCGAAGCCCGUGUAUUUUGUUUGUGAACCAUCC